GCUGCUGCCGCCGCCGCCGCCGCCGCGGAGGGGGAGGAGGAGGAGGGAGAGAGAGCGAGAGGGAGAGAGAGAGAGAUGGGGGAGGAAGCACACGUGAUAGCAGCCCCCUCCCCCGGGACCGGAGGGGAGGUAACUGCACAAAGCAUUUCCAUCACUUAUACAACUGUAAUAAAGGUCUGAAUCCAGCUUCAAUCUUUUUGACAGUGAUUUAAUAAGUAAUCUCCUCAUAUGAAUAGUGAAAUUUCCACGUGGAAAGAGAGAAAUGGAAUUGCAUCAGAGCCACAAAAAGUGCAGAUUGCUCUAAAAAGACAUAUUUUACCAAAGCACUUUCUAUGCCUGCUAUCGUGGUCUGUAGUGGAUUCAUUGUUGACACAGCUCUGGAUAUUUAUAUUCCUUCAGGAAUAGCACAACAUGAUUCUGAAUGUCGUGUGGAGCUUGACAAUAGGAUUGCUACCAAAGGAAAGAACUCAUUCUGAACCGUGUUCUGAAUUUCAAUCUGCACACAAUGAACUUUCACAUGAAGGCUGAUGGGAAGUGAGAAAUAAGAUGCUUUUGAUAAUUGAGCUGAAUUUUAUGAAGCAUUUUUUGAAUCUUGUAUUGAUUAGUAACCAGUAUCACUGAGAUAACUCAUUUCUAAAAGAAUGUUUAAGUGAAUUUGUAGUAAUGAUGCAGCAUCUAAUCUGCUUAUAAGCGUCCAUUCUUGGAAUAAGAAAUGUUUCUGUUUAUUCAGCACAAGGUUUUAAAUUGAGCAAGAGGGCAUAUAUCACAGUUUCUCAGUUCCAUUUUUUUCUUUGGCAUUUGAGGUGUUUGAAAUGUGCAACACCUAUAUAACUUGUGUGCAUUAUUUUGAAAUACAUUCUAGCAUGCAGGAAAGUGUUUUUUCCAGAUGGAUGUAUCAGGUGGUUUGGUGCCAGUGCCCCCAGAGAUGCACCUGGCAUGUACUGCUGGGGAUAAGGGCUCUUGCUUGAAAUAGCUUCCUAUACAUACCAUCUUUUCACAUUAUACCCACUUCUAGCAGGAGUCUAUCCCUGGGAACAAGUGGUGGAAGGGCUGCUAAAGUCUCCUCAUGCUGCACAAUAUCACAGUUGCUCCAGCAUGGCUGCUGCUGGAUGAGCUCAGAGCCAAAUACGGCCAGUGGAACUGAGGACAAAAUGUUAAACUCUUCUCAUAUUAAGAAACGAGGCUUUUUGAAUUUGCCCUCCAGACUGCACAUGCACUUUUCACAGCUUCAGUGUACAGGAAUCUCCCACACCAUCAGGAGGGGGUUUUUUAUCCAGGUCUUCACUCCCUCUUCCAGGACAAGAUCCAUAAUUUGAGGUCAUGCUGCUCCCCCACUCAUGAUUGUGAAAGGACAGGCUUGCUACCAAGAAAACCAGAAAGGACAAAUCAAUGUGCAUGUCUAGGAGGUGGAUUUGGAAUCCUUCUCCUUUCACUAGGCACCACUAGGUAGGAUCAAAAUCCAACUUCUGUUUGCCUUCAGGGAACCUGCAGUACCUGGAGCUGUCAAAGCCACAUCCUUCACUGCCUUCCUGAAAACCAUCUGUGCAAGACAGACAAUGGGCCAGGAAGAAAAAGAAAACUUCAUCUGCCAUGUAGGACUUCAUUUCUGGAGUCGGGAAGAGUCUGAAAGCUCCUCAACAGGGAGCCUAGCAGAUGUCCCCACUCAUCUGAGACACCAGCCGUGGCACAGCUGGCGCAGCAAGAAGCAUCACAGGCUAUUUUGGAAAAGCUGAACUUGGAAGACUAGGAACAAGGAAAUUGAGGAAUUACAUCAGGAAGUUUAGCAGGUAUUGCAGCCAGCAAGAGAAGAUCUGUAAAGCAGCUGCUUCUGAGGAGCUUUCAUCCUUGUAAUAUGCAUUUUAGGACAUCUUCCUUCAGCCAUGUUAAAGUUGGUCCCAGGAGCACCACAUCUAUUGGCAUCUGGACUGCACUUUCCAGUUUAGUUUCCUGCAAAAGGAAAUUCAUGUGCUCAGGGACCCCUCCAUAAUGGAAUCAAAGCAGGACCAUUAAUGAGGACUGGGAGAUGCUCUCUGGGACUGUGCUACUGAUCCAAACUCAGUAAGAUAGAUACACCCAAAAGAGAGUAAAUGUCUGUGUUUUCUGUGCCUGGAAGGGGUCAUUUCUCUGCAGGGAGGUUUGCUGCCUUUUUCUCCACAGGGAGCUGUGCUUUCAGGAGGAAGAUGAUGAAAAUACAAUGCUGAGUGAAGAGCUGUGGAUCUGUGGUUCCCACGCUGCAUUGAAGUGCUGGGCAGAUGUGUAGACGUGAGGAGAGAAGAAGGCUAACCUUUACCAACAACACAAUAGCUUAAAUUAUACCAGUAUGAACAUUUGCUUUACUCAUUUAAUAUUUAUUAACAACACAAUGUGUGAACCCACAUAAAGUAAAUGGCACAACUUGUGAGCUUUGCCCCAUUUCGAAGGCAAUAGU